rnacentral:lncRNA from 1 species
CGGGAGGCGGGGCGGCCCUGGAAGCUGGAGAAAAGUUGCAGGGAUCCGAGCGCCAGCAGCUGCUGGAGCUGGAGCCGCUGGAGCGAGGACCACCCCGCAGCCUCCGGACUUUGUUUGCAGAGCAGCGUGCCACGCUGCAGGGGGAACACGGUUCCCAGCUACCCUUGCAGCUCGCGGUGGUCACGUGACACGGAUCUGCCCAAUGGGAUGCUAAUGAAGGUCUGGAGGCGGGGCUUCUAGGGAAGACCAAGGCCCCGGAUCCAAGAUGGCAGCCCAGGAGAACCGCUGGCACCCGGGUUCUUGGUGGCUCAGCUUCUCGCAUGGGCAUGAAGGUUCCAACCGAGAGCAAGCCUCCGUUGCCCGCGGGUCCCCUGCGGAGUCCCCGAAUUAACUUCCGUGACCAACUCCCCGCCGACUUCAAGCUUGCCUCGCGCUCCUCCCCGUGGUCCUGGCCUGAGCGCCAGGUGCUGUGCUGUGUGCCCCACACCCAGUCCUGCUCCCUGAUGCCCGCGCAGGGCCCCCGCCAGCAGCAGGAGGCACGUGAGCUGCUCUGUUGUGCUCCCCCGGCGGGCAGGGCCUCCCAGAGGGGAUGCCGGGGGAAGUCAUGGCUCAGAGUGGCCCGUGGGGGAGAGGCAGGAAGGGGACUGACACCCCCCCCCCCGGUUCUUCCCAUCUCCCGUCUUCCCUUGGACCGAACUCCCUGCAUUGUGGUUUCAUCUUUUCCCCAGGCUGCCAAACGCAGGUCACUGCAGGAAAGCGUUCUACCGGGGCUGGAGGAGGCUGGAGAGGCUGGAGGCCCAGCGACCACGGCUGUUUAG